GAUGAAGAACGUAGCGAAAUGCGAUAAGUAAUGUGAAUUGCAGAAUUCAGUGAAUCAUCGAGUCUUUGAACGCACAUUGCGCCCCCUGGUAUUCCGGGGGGCAUGCCUGUCCGAGCGUCAUUGCUGCCCUCAAGCACGGCUUGUGUGUUGGGCCGCCGUCCCCGGUUUCCCCCGGGGACGGGCCCGAAAGGCAGCGGCGGCACCGCGUCCGAUCCUCGAGCGUAUGGGGCUUUGUCACCCGCUCUGUAGGCCCGGCCGGCGCCAGCCGACACCCAACUUUAUUUCUAAGGUUGACCUCGGAACAGGUAGGGAUACCCGCUGAACUUAAGCAUAUCAAUAAGCGGAGGA
rnacentral:misc_RNA from 1 species